rnacentral:rRNA from 1 species
ACAGCAGUAGCCACGGGAAAACGGAGGGAGCUAGCGUUGUUCGGAACUACUGGGCGUAAAGCGCACGUAGGCGGCUUUGUAAGUUAGAGGUGAAAGCCUGGAGCUCAACUCCAGAAUUGCCUUUAAGACUGCAUCGCUUGAAUCUAGGAGAGGUGAGUGGAAUUCCGAGUGUAGAGGUGAAAUUCGUAGAUAUUCGGAAGAACACCAGUGGCGAAGGCGGCUCACUGGACUGGUAUUGACGCUGAGGUGCGAAAGCGUGGGGAGCAAACAGGAUUAGAUACCCCUGUAGUCCCUGUCUCUUAUAC